CUUAUUGUGUGUAUCUGUGUUCCUACCAGAACACCCUGAAGGGGUGUGAUUGCUCGGGAAUUACUUUUUUUUAAUUCUGUAUGGAAAUCCAUUAAUAAGAUACAAUGAUCACAAAGGCAUUUUGAAAAACUGUUGGGAACGAGGAGUAGGCAGAAAAUGACACUGUGUCACGUCCUUUGUAACAGUCUAUGACAGGCUGAUCAUUGCUGAGCUCGUGACACAGGUCCUACUGAUUGUGCCACACAGCACUAGUGAGUGCAUAAGUGCUGGGUGGCACUGACGUUAAUCAUGGGCUUUGCUAUUGGACAGGGGCAGUAGCAAUUUCAGGGAUCGGUUCCUACUGUCCUGUUCUUAGAAUCACAGAAUGGUUUGGGCUGGAAGGGACCUCAGAGCCACCCAGCCCAACCCCUGCUGUGGGCAGGGCUGCCCCCACCAGCUCAGGCUGCCCAGGGCCUCAUCCAGCCUGGCCUUGAGCGCCUCCAGGGAUGGGGCACCACAGCUUCUCUGGGCAGCUGGGCCAGCACCUCACCGCCCCCUCAGUGAAAAAUUUCCCCAAUAUCUAAUCUAAAUCUCCCCUUUUAGUUUAAAACCACUCCCCCUCGGCCUACUACCCAUGUAAAAAAGGUUUUUCUCUCCUGUUUAUUAGCUUCCUUUAAGUUUUUUAUUAUUUUGAAAUCUUACAAUAAACCACAACUUUUAUGUAUUUGUCAGCUGUAGAAGUUUCCUCACAGAGAUUUAGAAUUCUGUUGAGACUCAGUACAAGAAAUGUAAAACAAAGGAUGACCAGGCAAAAUAUGGAUCCUUUUGCAAAACAAAUUCUCAUAACUCAGCUUGCCAGCCUGCACUGUUUAUGCCUUCAACGUUCAUCAAGAUUUUGUUGAUCCUUUUUCCUUCUGGAGGCUUCUGUACAGCUCAGGCCGCAUGAACCAACUGCGUGUGUCCUCCUUGCUAGAUAGUGGUUGUUACCCACAUGGGUGUUUACAGUGAGCUUCUUGGGAGUAGUGCGAGGUAGUUUGAGAAGGAGCACAGACAUUUUAGACUUCUUUGAGCUAUGGAAUACCGAACAGUCUGAAUCUAAGGGUGUGCUUCUCUCUUUCAAGAAGAAAAGGAAAAUCUAAAAUGGGUCUUUUUAAGCAGAUUAUAAGGUGACAUCUGUGAUGUCUUUCUUUUGGACCCUAGUUUAAAUUAUUUUAACUCCUUUAUUUCACUUUAAGAAGCAAGUUUACUGCUUCUCAAAGUUGUUCAGCAAUUCUGAAAAAGAAUAUGGAACAAAUGCUCCUCAGUUACAGUAAAAGUAAAUGAAAUUUAAUGAAAAGAUAACAAGAAAACAAGUCCUGCAGCGUAGCCAAACCCUUACCUGUAUUGGUACAGAUUUGUUAAAUACUUUAUCUGAGUCAGUUGACCUUAUUGUGAGAUACUGCCCUUGAAUCCGUAAUUGAAUUAUUUAACAGUUGUUCUUUUGUUUUUAAAGCAAGAGUCAAUGCAAGCAUCAUUUUAAAUCAGCGUGCUGAAGUGUGCAUAUUCUGUAUAUCGAAUGUCAUUGUUGUCUCUUGUUUCUGUAAUGCAUUUGCAUUACUAUGAAUCAGUUUUAUUAUGCUUCUCUAGAGACUAUUGCUGCCUGCACGCUGUGAUAUAUUUGCACUGUUGUAGAUAUAUAUAUAUACAUAUAUGUAAUUAUAUCAACCAUGUCUUUUUCAGGUUGCUUGUUACCUUUGUAGUUUACGCUUACUGGUACGGUGAACCUGAGUGAAAAUGUGGGAUGUGGGACAUUCUGAUGAUAUAUGACAACAAUAGAGAAAUCUUUGUAUAUUUCUGUAUACUUAAUACCCGUAAGAGAUUUGUAUGUGCAUUAUUUUCCAAACUAGGGCUUUGUUUUCUGAGAAUAGAGAGCAUUUAUGAUAAUGUAACAAAACAAAUAAAGUGUUAUUAUUUUC
ensembl:lncRNA